rnacentral:rRNA from 1 species
GACGAACGCUGGCGGCGUGCUUAACACAUGCAAGUCGAACGGUAAGGCCCUGCUUUUGUGGGGUGCUCGAGUGGCGAACGGGUGAGUAACACGUGAGUAACCUGCCCUUGACUUUUGGUUAACUUCAGGAAACUGGGGCUAAUACCGGAUAGGAGCUCCUGCUUCUUGGUGGGGGUUGGAAUGUUUCGGCGGUUGGGGAUGGACUCGCGGCUUAUCAGCUUGUUGGUGGGGUAGUGGCUUACCAAGGCUUUGACGGGUAGCCGGCCUGAGAGGGUGACCGGCAACAUUGGGACUGAGAUACGGCCCAGACUCCUACGGGAGGCAGCAGUGGGGAAUAUUGCACAAUGGGCGGAAGCCUGAUGCAGCAACGCCGCGUGCGGGAUGACGGCCUUCGGGUUGUAAACCGCUUUCGCCUGUGACGAAGCGUGAGUGACGGUAAUGGGUAAAGAAGCACCGGCUAACUACGUG